GCGCAGCAGUCGAGAAUCUUCCACAAUGGACGAAAGUCUGAUGGAGCGACGCCGCGUGCGGGAUGAAGGCCUUAUGGGUUGUAAACCGCUGUCAGGGGGGAAGAACAUCGGAAUGAACAAUACUCAUUCCGACUGACGUUACCCCCAGAGGAAGCUCCGGCCAACUCCGUGCCAGCAGCCGCGGUAAUACGGGGGGAGCAAGCGUUGUCCGGAAUUAUUGGGCGUAAAGGGCGUGUAGGCGGCGAGGUAAGUCGAAUGUG
rnacentral:rRNA from 1 species